rnacentral:rRNA from 1 species
GAUGAACGCUGGCGGCGUGCCUAAUACAUGCAAGUCGAGCGAACGGACGAGAAGCUUGCUUUUCUGAUGUUAGCGGCGGACGGGUGAGUAACACGUGGAUAACCUACCUAUAAGACUGGGAUAAUUUCGGGAAACCGGAGCUAAUACCGGAUAAUAUUUUGAACCGCAUGGUUCAAAAGUGAAAGACGGUCUUGCUGUCACUUAUAGAUGGAUCCGCGCUGCAUUAGCUAGUUGGUAAGGUAACGGCUUACCAAGGCAACGAUGCAUAGCCGACCUCAGAGGGUGAUCGGCCAGCCUGGAACUGAGAAACGGUCCAGACUCCUACAGGAGGCAGCAGUAGGAAAUCUUCCGCGAUGGGCGAAAGCCUGACGGAGCAACGCCGCGUGAGUGAUGAAGGUCUUCGGAUCGGAAAACUCUGUUAUUAGGGAAAAACAUAUGUGUAAGUAACUGUGACCAUCUUGACGGUACCUAAUCAGAAAGCCACGGCUAACUACGUG